AUGGUGGGCGCGCACUGCCAGUUGACAGGACCGCAGAGAUCACCACACUUGGCCUGUCUAUUGUACAUUGGAUGCUGGGAGCCCACUGGGGACACUCAAGAACAAGAGUGGAGACCCCAAAGGGCUGUGACCUCAUUCCCACACCCAGUGCAGCUACCCUCACUUGCAGGAAGCAGAGAGCUGUCAGGCCACUGCGACAGGUCCCACCAACCAGCCCGAGAGAGGGAGGCUUGUCUACAGUCUUCUCACACCCUGGGUACAUGUCCAACCACCUUUUGCAGCCUGCCCUCCCUUUUGCCCAGGCUGGGCCUCUUCCUUGGAGCAGCCCCACGCACCCCCUAUCUUGGCUUUGGAGAUCUCAUGCUGAGCUCAACGAAUUCUCACGAGGCACUGGCCUCCCAUAAGGCCCCUUGGCUCGCAUUUUCUAGGAUCUUUUUUCAGGGAUGUGAGCACCCACUGAGGUGCCACACGGUUACUUCACCUGGAGGGCCUGCUAGAUGCCAGGGGGUGGGGGGUGGGGGGACAGGCCCAGGUCGAGUGGGGAAUCUGGGUUUACUUACAACACCCCCCAGUGAUAGUGACGGCGUUCCAGGUCUGGGGACCUCUGGUCUCACCUGCCCUGAAAGGAGGAGCACCUGCACAGGAGCCCGGAUACCACCGGCCAGGCCCUGGAACUGCUGGACGCUCAGCUGGGCUUGGGCCAGAGGCUGUGCUUACGUCCAGCUGUUGCAGCCGAGACUCCUUCCCAAGCACUCAGCAUCUUCAGCAGGCCGCAGCGGUGGACAGCGAUGCGCCCCCCCCCCCCCCCCCCCCCCGCCGAGCCCAGGCUGCAGGAUGCGCGGCCCCCGCCCUCCCCCCAGAGCACUGCAACCACCGGGGCUCCUUCCCAGCCACAUACCGGGGGCCCUUCUAGAGCCAGACGCCCGCUGGGGCCCCUGCUUGCCUCCUUCCUGCAGCCUUCAGGGCCCUGCCUGCCCGGUCCCCUUGCCCAUUCGCUCCGGGUCUCCGCGUCCCCGACCAUUUCUCAGAGGCUCCACGGCCGCGGGCCACCCUACACCUCGGACAGCUCCGGGCAUGCGCAGUCGCCCUCGGGCGCUCCGGCGCCCCAGGCCGCGCGGAAGUGCCGGCGGGGCGGGGCCUCCCGUGGGCUCGGGCGCACCUGCGGCUCUGCUCUGCGGGCUCGGGGGCUCGGGGCGGCAGAGAACAGCGGCUGGAAGACUUGAAGAGGUGGAUGGCGGACGACCUGACCCAGGCCUUGAAUGCCGAGUAAAGCUGGGGCAGCAGGGGGGUGGCGGUGGGCCGCAAGGGAGACCCGCCGCUGGAGCCUCCAGAGCACCCGGCUGA
rnacentral:lncRNA from 1 species